rnacentral:lncRNA from 10 species
AAAGCCUUCUAACAAGAGAAAGUUCAUGAGAAAUGAGUAACUUCAGAAGUACUGGGGAGACAGCAAUGGAAACAGAAAAAGAAUGGGGAUCCUGUAACUUUAAAUUGGUGUAAUCAACGUAUGGAUCUCAGUGAGGGUAAUUUCCUUACACAGGUAAGGGUAAAUCAGCUUAUAGGUUUUGGCCAGCCCCAUGGAGUCACAUAACCUUUAGGAUAGGUAUGUAAGACCAGCCAGUAAAGACUAGUCUGAGAGAUUACCAGAAGAGGAGAGGAGCCCUUAGGGAAGCUACAGAAGAAGUGGCAUUCCUGGGAGUGAAGAAAUGAAAUUGAGGCAAGACAUGCUCCCUGCAAAUGAGCAUAUUACUUCAUACCCAUCAAAAGUAUUCAGUGGUGUCAUAGCCCUUGGGGAUUGAUCACCAAAAUCUCAUUGCUUGAAUCACUUGAAAAAAAUAGAGAUUAUAUUUUAGAAAUAAGGUAUAAAAUUUUAUAGGAAGUAAUUUGCCUGGAGAAGUUCUCAGCAGUAGUUAUUGUGGCUAUCCACUGAGAGCAGAGUAAAAUGCACACUUGGAAUCUUUGCAAGCAAUCACAGAAAAGGUAGUAUCGUAUAAUAGAUAAGAGCGCAACUCUGGAGCCAAACUGCUUGGGUAUGAAUCUUGGCUUGUGACUCCUAGUUGUGUAAACCCUUAGGCAAGUGACUCAACCUUUCUCUAGCUCAGUUUCCUUAUGUAUAAGUUGUGAACACUAUUUGUAGCCACUUAAUAGGACUUGAUAUGUGGAAAGCACUUAGAAUGAUUAAUCCAUGUAAAGCACUUAUAAAAGUAUCCGCUAUAUGAGUAAGCAUUUAACAAAUGUUACCAACAAAUGCUAUUAUUAUUGACAAGUACUUUUUAUCUAUUUGGUUCCACACAUUAUUCUGGGGUACCUUGAAGAGUGCAAAAGAAAAUUUUAAGAUAAGAUCCUCCUCCUUACAGGGUUAAGCUGAAGAUGAAACGAAAAACUAGCAUCAAUAGAGCAAUUAGAGAACCCUUAAGUCCAAACUGAGUAACUGUGGUUAAAGGAAGGAAAGGAUCAGGAUAGUCAGAGAAGGGGCCUAAUGUGGUGAUAUGUACUUAGUGGGUGCUCAAUUAAAUUCAUUAAAGAUAACCCAGACAGAAUUUUCACUCACAUUAGGAUUUUAUUAACUGUUAUGUCAGUCUCUGGAUUUGGGGGGAAACAAUCACAGGAACAAAAUAAUACCCUCAAUUAGCAAUGCAUUUAGAGAAUGCUAAAAUAGAAAAGGGAAAAAAGGAAUUUAUCUUUUAGCUUGACCUUGAAUGAGGUUUCAGGAUUUGAGAAUGGUAGAGAUGAAAGAAACCUCAGAGAUCCUCAGCGAUCAACUGGUCUAUGCACUGUCUUUUAUAUAUGAAGAAACAGGCCCAGAUAUAUGAAUGACUUGUUCAAAUUGCACUGGAGAACCAGGUCUCCUCAUUCUCAGUCUGAUUCUUGGCUCCCUGUGGACAUUGGUGGGCUUCACUGGAUUCUGAAAGCCAUUCUCCCUGCCCAACACUGAUCAGUUAGUCGGACUUCCAUCUAUGGACCCUAGAGCUUUUCCUGCCAGUGGUUGCUCCUGUAACCUACUGUGGCCAUUGUGGGCUGACAGCCAUAUUGUGAGGGAUUAGGUAGCUCUCUAGGCAUUGACAAGAAC